UUGGGAAGUUAAAGUUUUAACAAGGUUUCCCUUGGUGAACCAGCGGAGGGAUCAUUGCUGGAACGCGCCCCAGGCGCACCCAGAAACCCUUUGUGAACUUAUACCUUACUGUUGCCUCGGCGCAUGCCGGCCCCCAGGGGCCCCUCGGAGACGAGGAGCAGGCACGCCGGCGGCCAACCUAACUCUUGUUUUUACACUGAAACUCUGAGAAAAAAAAAAAAAAAAAUGAAUCAAAACUUUCAACAACGGAUCUCUUGGUUCUGGCAUCGAUGAAGAACGCAGCGAAAUGCGAUAAGUAAUGUGAAUUGCAGAAUUCAGUGAAUCAUCGAAUCUUUGAACGCACAUUGCGCCCUCCGGUAUUCCGGAGGGCAUGCCUGUUCGAGCGUCAUUUCAACCCUCAAGCACUGCUUGGUGUUGGGGCACUGCUCCUCUCGCGGGGAGCAGGCCCUGAAAUUCAGUGGCGAGCUCGCCAGGACCCCGAGCGCAGUAGUUAAACCCUCGCUCUGGAAGGCCCUGGCGGUGCCCUGCCGUUAAACCCCCAACUCUUGAAAAUUGACCUCGGAUCAGGUAGGAA
rnacentral:rRNA from 1 species